rnacentral:lncRNA from 1 species
AGGUCGGCUCGCGAGGUCUCCGCAGGAACAGCCGGCACUCCUCAAGUUCUCGCGAGAGUCUGCCAGUCAAGGACGCGGUCCGGCAAUUUAUUGGUUUUUUUUUUUUCUUCUUUCUUUUUUUUUUUUCUUUUUCCUUUGGUAGUUUUAAUUGGUACUUUGGGCCAGAAGGCGGGGCCUCACUGAGAAAGGAAACUGGCUGAGCAGACACUCUCUGCGUAGGAUCAUCAUGCCGAGCAUAAACUGGACUUUCCCACUUGCCUGGCAGGAGUGAGACAGAUCACUGUGUGCUAAAUGAGCAUCUGAGAUGUCCUUGGUGUGUGCAUCCCUGUGGAAUCUGGUUCAUCUCCAAUCUGUCAGAAAGCAUCAGAGGUGGUUUUGAGUCCUUAUGUCCUGAGCCUGUGGACAAAAUGUACCUUGUGUGGAGGAAAAUGAGAUCCCGAGUGAAGUCUACAAUGUCAUUGACUCUGAAGAAGGACUCAGAGACCCAUUGGUGUUUAAUGACCCUUACUGGCCUAUGCAAUGGGAACUGGCUCAGCUAUAUAUGAUCACAGGCCCAUCCCCUAAAACUUAUAUGGAAACUUGAAUGAUGUCAGCUUCUAAAGGACACUGUAUGAAGGACUGGAUUGCCAGUGGUAAGGAGGAGAAAAGGAACAAGAAAAAUUGGAAAGAUAAAUGUGGUCUUUCCAGUGAAGACCCAGACUGGGAGUGUCUCAAGAGAAAGACUGAGCCACAGAGGCAGAAUCCCACAGGCUCAAUUUUCCUACAUAAUUCAGAGUUGUGGCUUGGGCAAUGCCAAGAACCACAUCUGCACUGAAAUCAAUUAUCUGUUGGGUAAGUGGGGCAGACAUGUUUGAUAUUUUUUUUAGCUGCAGUCAACUCCAAUGUUUACAUUUUAUCUAUAAUUUUAUUGAAGACUCUUAGGAAAAUUUCUCAGUAUCACUUAAGAUUAUUUUGUCCGAAGUGCUUUGUACUCUGGCAGGGUUGGGAUCUGCCUUUAUGGAUAUUUUUAAACUAUCCUGUUUAAAACUAGGAGGUCUAAUAUACUGCCAUUCUUAAACAAACAAACAAAAAAAGGGAAAGACUAAAAUACAUUCAUUUGUAUAAUCCACUUUGAAUCUAGUACUUAUUUUUCAUCAAAGUCAAACUCAAGGAGUUCCCAUCGUGGCUCAGCGGUUAAUGAAUCUGGCUAGCAUACAUGAGAACGCAAUUUCAAUCCCUGGCCUUGCUCAGUGGGUUGGGGAUCCGGCAUUGCUGUGAGCUGUGGUGUAGGUCGCAGACACAGCUCAGAUUCUGUGUGGCUGUGGUAUAGACUGGUAGCUGUAACUCUGAUUUGACUGCUAGCUUGGGAACCUCCAUUUGCCUCAGGUGUGGCCUUAAAGAACCAAAAAAAAACAAAAAAAAAAGUCAAACUCAAAUCAAAAUACUUCUAAUUGAUCACAUUGAAAAAUUAAACCUCUCAUGUCUUCUGGCUGCUGUCAUGAAAUACCAUAAACCGGAUAGCUUACAAACAAGGGCAAUUUAUUUCUCACAGUUCUGUAGGCUGGAAAGUUCAAGAUCAAGGCCCUGGAAGUCUUGUUUUCUGGUGAGUGUUCAUAUAUAGUCAUCUUCUCACUGUGCCCUCACAAGGCAGAACAGCAAGAUCUCUGUGGUCUCUUUUAUUAGAGCACUAAUCCCAUUUAAGAGAACACCUCCCUCAAGACCUAAUCACCUUCCAAAAGCCCUACUUCCAAAUACCAUCAUACCUGGGACUGAGUUUAACAUAUGAAUUUGGGGUGGGGGUCACAAGCAUUCAUCUUGCAGUAUCACUCUUCCCUGAUAUCUCUUUCAUCACUUUAUUUUAUAAAGAUUAGGAAUUUAGAAGAUCAGGAUUUUACUUCAGCUGUUUAUCCAAUCUUCCUUAGAGACUAAGAAUUUCCCAAACACCUAAGUAUUAUCUUGUUAUACUUGGCCCUUUGCCUCUGUUUUGCCAGUUAACAUUUUCUGUUAAUUAUUUUAUUUUAUUUUAUUUUUUAUUUGCUAAAGACUGAAAAAUAAAAUGAACUGCAGUUUUAUCUUUGAUAAUAUGAUCAAAUAUAAAAAUUUCUCAGUAUGUUAUUGUCCCAUUUGUUAAAUCUUUACAAAAAUGGUGACAAAGCAGUGGGCAACUGUAUAAAAAGCAUUUAGAAAGAUCAUGAAGAAAUUAAUAUAAGAAAAUAGGAUAUAGAAAUAAAGUAUAAGAGAACAAAAUGUUGAGAAAGAGAAAGCACAAUAAAAUUUGAAUUAAUUAAUAGUGAGUGCUAAUCACUUAUUCAGUAUUUACUGAACAAUUGCUAUGUUCUAAAGGCUGAUCUAUUUCUAUGAUGUGCCACUAAUCAUUUCAUAUUGAAAAUAUUUCUGAUAUUAAAUAUUUUUAUAUCAAACCAAUGGGUGUUUAUUAUAGAAAAUUUCUCAUAUCAGAAAUAUCAAAAAUAGAAAAAUGAAAAAAUCUUUAAUAAUAUUCUUGCGUGCAAAGUAUUGCUAAUAUUUAGUAUCUUUUUUCUGCGUACUUACGCUGUUUUUAUUUAAUUGCAAAUAUUCUGAGUAUUGAGAUGUAUAUUCUGAUUUUUUCAAUUAAAAUUUUUAUUAUUUUCCCAUUAUAUUAAAUAUCUAAAAUAUGGUUUUAAAUGACUCUAUGAUAUGUAAACAAAUUUAUAUGCCAGAAUUUAUUGAAUUUUUCCCAUAUUCUUGGGCAUUUAGGUUGUUUAUAGUAUUUUAUUUUAGGUGAUGUUACAAUCAAUAUUUUCAUUCAUAAAUCUUUGGUUUGCCUCACCACUUUUCCAAAAAAUAAAUCCCCCAGUGUGUAACUGUGAGUAUAAAAAUGAUAGUGAGCAAAAUUAUAUCAACUUAAAUGUCUACCAGUAGUUUGAAAUUAUGCCUAAUUCUUGUUUCCCCCUCAUCCAGUGAAGUAUAAUUUUUAAAAAUACUAUUACUCAAGAAACCUUUGCCAAUAUAAUGUAUAAAAAAGAUUAUUUUGUUUUAAUUUGCAUUUAUUUGAUUGUAAAUGUGGUUGAAUAUUUUUCAUAUGCUUAUUAAGUAUUUGUAUUUUUCUCAUAUCAAAUAGCUCUUUUGAGCUAUUUUUUUGUCUUAUUGAUUGGAUAGAAGUUUUUACAUAUUAAUGUUUAAACCUCUUUUUAAUUGGUAACAUUUCAUCAAACAUUGUUUGCCUUUUAUUGUUCUUUAUAUAUACUUAGCAUUCUUAACGUUGACCAAACUCAAAUCCUUGGAGCUUUCUAUUUUAAUUAAGAAAAUUUUUUAUUGAAGUAUAGUUGAUUUACAAUAUUAUGUUAGCUUCAGGUGUACAGCAAAGUGAUUCAUUUAUACAUAUAUAUAUAUAUAUUAUUUUUCAGAUUAUUUUCCCUUAUAGGUUAUUACAAAUAAAUUAUUGAGUGCAGUUCCUUGUGUUAUAGAGUAGGAACUUGUUGAUUAUCUAUUUUAUAUGUAAUAGAGUGUAUCCUCCUAAUUUAUCUCUCCCCUCACUUUUCCCUUUGGUAAGCAUAUGUUUGUCUUUGUCUAUGGGUGUAUUUCUAUUUUGCAUAUAAGUUCAUUUUUAUCAUUUUUUUAAACUCCACAUAUAAGUGACAUCAUAUGAUAUUUGUCUUUCUCUGUCUGCCUUAUUUCACUUAGUAUGAUAAUGUCUAGGUCCAUCCAUGUUGCUGCAAAUAGCAUUAUUUCAUUCUUUUUGAUGGCUCAGUAAUAUUUCAUCAUAUACACCCACUGUAUCUUCUUUAUCCAUUCAUCUGUCAAUAGACAUUUAUGUUGCUUCCAUGUCUUGGCUAUUGUAAAGAGUGCUGCAGUGAACAUUGGGGUGCAUGUAUCUUUUUAAAUUACAGUUUUCUCUGGAUAUAUGAAGAGGAGUGGGAUUAUAGGAUCAUAUGGUAGCUCCAUUUUUAGUUUUUUAAGGAAUCUCUUUUUUGUUCUCUAUAGUGGCUAUACCAAUUUACAUUCCCAUCAACAGUGUAGGAGGGUUCCCUUUUCUCUACACCUUCUCCAGAAUUUAUUAUUUGUAGACUUGGAGUUUCUGUUGUGGCUGAGCAGUAACAAAUCCAAUUAGUAUCCAAGAGGAUGUGGGUUUGAUCCCUGGCCUCAUUCAGUGGGCUGGGAAUCCUGCAUUUCCAUGAGCUGUGAUAUUGGUCACAGACAGGACUCAGAUCCCACAUUGCUGUGUCUGUGAUGGAGGCUGGCAGCUGUAACUCCAAUUCAACCCCUAAUCUGGGAACUCCCAUAUG